AUCUUCAAGCGGUGGAUCACUCGAAUCAUCAAUCGAUGAAGAACGUAACUAGCAACGAUAACCGGUGCCAAUUGCAGGACACUCCAAUUACUUGAUUAAUAUGAUUAAUAAGAAAGAAAUAAAAUCAUCUUGUAAAAAAGGCU
rfam:Tetranychus urticae London genomic scaffold, scaffold_546